GAUGAACGCUGGCGGCGUGCCUAAUACAUGCCAGUCGAGCGAACAGACGAGGAGCUUACUCCUCUGACGUUAGCGGCGGACGGGUGAGUAACACGUGGAUAACCUACCUAUAAGACUGGGAUAACUUCGGGAAACCGGAGCUAAUACCGGAUAACAUGUUGAACCGCAUGGUUCAACAGUGAAAGACGGUCUUGCUGUCACUUAUAGAUGGAUCCGCGCCGCAUUAGCUAGUUGGUAAGGUAACGGCUUACCAAGGCAACGAUGCGUAGCCGACCUGAGAGGGUGAUCGGCCACACUGGAACUGAGACACGGUCCAGACUCCUACGGGAGGCAGCAGUAGGGAAUCUUCCGCAAUGGGCGAAAGCCUGACGGAGCAACGCCGCGUGAGUGAAGAAGGUCUUCGGAUCGUAAAACUCUGUUAUUAGGGAAGAACAAAUGUGUAAGUAACUAUGCACGUCUUGACGGUACCUAAUCAGAAAGCCACGGCUAACUACGUG
rnacentral:rRNA from 1 species